AGACGUGCCAGACAGACGGGGCCUUGACAUGCAGAAAUCUGAUAAAAAACGCGUGCCUGACAGGAAAGCCAAGGAUAUAAAAAAUCUGAAGUUAAAAGGGAUCGACAAAGAUUUGGCUGAGAAAAUUAUCAAUGAGAUCAUUGACUCCGGUCCACAAGUCACAUCACAGGACAUAGUCGGCCAAGAAAAAGCCAAGACAGCCUUACAUGAGAUCGUCGUACUGCCUGCCUUAAACCCCCAGGUG